GGCACCAUUGUGUAGUGGUUAUCACAUGUGCCUAACACGAAGAAGGUCCCCAGUUCGAGCCUAGGUGGUGUCA
rnacentral:tRNA from 1 species